rnacentral:rRNA from 1 species
UACAGAGGGUGCGAGCGUUAAUCGGAAUUACUGGGCGUAAAGCGCACGUAGUCGGCUUUGCAAGUCGGGUGUGAAAUCCCCGGGCUCAACCUGGGAACUGCAUCCGAGACUGCAUUGCUAGAGUAUGGGAGAGGGAAGCGGAAUUUCUGGUGUAGCAGUGAAAUGCGUAGAUAUCAGAAGGAACAUCAGUGGCGAAGGCGGCUGCCUGGACCAAUACUGACGAUCAGGUGCGAAAGCGUGGGGAGCAAACAGG